GAUGCGGAUGCGGAUGCAGAUGCGGAUGCGAAAGCGGAAGCGGAAGCGGAAGCGGAAGAAGAAUAACGCCAGGUGUGUUUACAAGGAAUUUUGGGUAUGUUUACGAAUCGACGUCGUGGCUCGUUUUGGAUUUAUGGGUGAAAUAUUUGAGCAGGCUGGUGCUUCCCGGGUAACGGCGCCCUCUGACACCGGGGAGCAGGAGGACCUAGAGAACCGGCUCAGCGCUCGCUCCUGAGGAUGUUAAUGAAACGAGGCUGAGCGAAGGUGUAUUUGCUGAAGCUGUCGGAGGAGACGGAUGGAGCCCAACCACUGAAACUGAUGUCUCCUGCAGUCAAACCGAGCGUGGAUGGUACAACUGGCCUGCUGUUCCUGUUUGGUCUUCUCCAUUGCUAUACAUGCCACACGCCUGAAAAGAACAAGGGUAGAGUGAGGGAGGAUGUGAUCGGCUGGGACAGAUGUGUUACAGAAGAUGUGGAAGUGGAACUCCCCAAUCAGGAGCAAGAAUGAGGCUGCUGCUGCUGCAAGUAUAAAAUAGUCACAGUAAAGUGAGGUGUAAAAGUGACAUGUUGAUGAUUUUUAUGUGUUUUACACAGAGCUGGUAUUUGUACUGUAGUAAAAAGUCCUUUCCCUAACAGCAGCUUGGGAUGUGCUGCAGUAAGUGUAGUGUGUCCUCUUCAGGCUGUGGAGUUUAUUAUGGCUCUGUGUUGUAAUGUUCCAUUGCUGUGCUCCUUUUAGUGAUUUUCAGUAAUUCAGCAGUUAUUUGUGUUCUGUUUAGAUGAGUCAGUGAGUUUUUAGUGAUUGCUUUUCUCUCUGUCUUGCUUUGUGUGGUGUGUUGUUCUGUCACUGUUUGAGGUUGAUGCAAAGGAAUACCUGUUGCAGGAAAGUCUUGUGACAUGUGUCUGUUUGUGAGGUAUUGUUGACAUUGGCCAAUCAUUGUUGUGAAUAGCAAAGUGAAAGUGUUAUUUGAGUCACCUGGAGUAAUGUUUCAUUGACUUGAUUGGGUUUAGUGUUGCCAUGAACUGAGGGGGGGGGUUUGUAUACUUUGUACAGCACACUGUGAAUGAUGUUUUCAAUGUGAAGAAGAAGAACAAUGGAAUGACUAGUGUUGUAGGAGCCUAAAAGCAUUUUGUUGAUGUUUAAGUGGUUAAAUAACACAGUUCAUUGAUUGUUGAAUAAUUUAAAAUAUUUACAGUAAUAAAAAGGUAAAUUUAUGAUUCUUUAGAUUAAAAAUGUGUGGUUAUAAUUUAAAACAUGUAACAUUUCAUUUCUAAUUGAUUGGACUGUGUAGAACUUGGUUAGACCUUUAAUGAUUUCACAGUUUAUUGACCUCUCUCUCUCUCUCUCUCUCUCUCUCUCCUUUUUUUGUAUAUUGACUUUUAUUAUUUGAAAGUGGAAAAGAUUCUGUUUUGUAUCACCUUUUGAUGUAAAGUAAAGAAUUUAACUUUACAAGUGGUCUCCUGGAAUUUUGUGGAUUUUGAAGUGGAUGAGAGGGAUGAUAGAGUGUCAAGCUAUGGCUUUACUAAAUGGAAACCUACAAGUGUGUUCAGAGUUGAGAGAGAGAUGAAGGAUGAUUAAAGCCAUGGAGGUGUUUGCAAAGGGUUUAUUUCUUGUUGCUCCUGUGUUUGUGCUGAUGCAGGAGGAUCUAAUUAGGAGUGUCAACGAGGUGCAGCCCUGUGGAGGCUCGGCUGCUGCGAUGUGGUUGGCUGUUCACAGGUGUGAGCAAUCAGCAGUGUGGUACUUGAGGAGUAGUGACUCACUGGUGUGUCAGCCUUUGUGUGAAGACCUCUGUGUGUGAAGACCUGCGACUCUACCUGUGCCACUCAACCCAGUGAGGAAACCUGGUGAGGACAGUAAGGCCUUUUUCUGCUCUUUUCUGCACUUCUGCCAGGCCUAGUGCUACCCUCAUUGUCUCACUCUUUGCCAUGUGCUUCAUUGCUCUCAGCUGCACAAGGAGACCUGGUGAGGACGGUAAAGCCUUUUUUCAACACUUUUCACUCAUCACCGAGCAGGGGACGGUAAGAACACAUGGGUGCAGUUGUUGGGGAAUGACUAAGUGUCACCGGGUUGGAAAGACUGUUGGAGUGGCUAUAAAAUUGUAUAGAGAUGUUAUAGUAUUUUCAGGCCAAAAAGGUGAAAAAAUGGAGAUGCACCUUUUGUGUUUUGUGUGUUGAUGCAGGAGGAUCCAAUUAGGGGCGUCAACGAGGUGCAGCCCUGCCAAGGCUCGGCUGCUGAGACGCGAUUGGCUGUUCACAGGUGUGAGCAAUCAGCAGUGUGGUACUUGAGUGCAGUAAGCAGCAGUUUUCCUGCACUUUUCCCUCAUCACUGAGCGGGGAUGGUAAGUUGCUUUUCUGUACUUCUCCCUCAUUGUCUGUCUCACUCUCUGCCAUGUGCUUCAUUGCUUGCAGCUGUGUAAGAUGUCUACUGAGAACACUCAACUAAACACAAUCGGCAGAACACAUGGGCGCGCUUGUCGGGGAAUGACUAUAAGUGUCACUGGGUUGGAAGCACCAAGCAGGGGACGGUAAGUUGCUUCUCUUUUUUGCACUUCUGCCAGGCCUAGUGCCACCCUCAUUGUCUCACUCUCUCUGCUGUGUAGGACAGCGGGUGUACCCACUCGCUUAUCUACAAACAAUGGCUUGGAAAGCAAAAACUGAAGACAUGGGUAAAGACCUGUGAGUCCACUGAGCAGGGGAUGCUGUGGGACACUCUGCAACCACUCAAGUAAGUCACUGCACAUGUAUGCACUUCUGCCAGUCCUUCCACCACCCUCAUUGUCUCACUCUCUGCCAUGUGCUUCAUUGUUCACAGCUGUGUAGGAGUUCUACUGAGAACGCUCAACACAAAUGGGAAUGGAGGAACACAUGGGUUGGAAAACAAAGACUGAAGACACCUCACCUGACGCCCUUUAGGCUGAAUCGUCGAUGGCAGGUCCUGUUAGAGUGGCGGUGAAAGUUUAUGACAGCUGGUUUACCCAGUCGCUUGGAAAGCAAAAACUGAAGACCUGUGAGUCCACUGAGCAGGGGAUUCCGUGGGACACUCUGGUAAGUCACUUCCACCACCCUCAUUGUCUCUGACAUGUAGGAACAGCAGGUCUAUUUAAGUAUUUGUUUGACAAGUAGUAGCAUACCAGGAUGGAGCUGGUGAUGCUAGUGUGACCAUUUGUUUGUGCAACACAACUAAUAAACUCAGCCUUUGUGCUGUACAUUUUGGUGAAA